CAAGGCAUAUUCCUGGCGACUGACACUAUAUCUGCCAGCCAGUGGUGGCUGAACUAUAAAAUCCCUUUGUCUCAACACCCGGUUGUUCUGCCUCCUGUCCGUGACCAUCAGCCAGACAGAACCCAGGUUUCAUUUGAAAUCUCUGAUUGAAUUUCUUUUUAGCAGUUCAGCAAGACGGCAAAAUGGGCGAUCCGAUACGAAGGCCUGGAAAUCCAAAAGUGGACAUCAAAGUAAAUCUUAAUCAUUUAAAAAAAAUAUGCUUAGCAAUAUUUUACUCAAUAUAAAGCUGUUUAUCCAUUGUUUAUCCACAUAUCCUUUCC